rnacentral:rRNA from 1 species
CCUACCGAUUGAAUGGUCCGAUGAACACUUUGGAUUUUGAGUUUCUAGUCUGUAAAAGGAAUAGAGAUUUGAAAGAAGUUGUGUAAAUCUUACCAUUUAGAGGAAGGUGAAGUCGUAACAAGGUU